UCCGAGUUAGUAUAUCGGCUAGUAUAUCCGCCUUUCAUAACCUGGGCGCGGAGGAGACGGGUUCGAUUCCCGUACUCGGAA
rnacentral:tRNA from 1 species